UGGUGGAGUGAUUUGUCUGGUUAAUUCCGAUAACGAACGAGACCUUAACCUGCUAAAUAGAGACGCGAACCUGUGUUCGUGCGCUCUUCUUAGAGGGACUGACUACGUUUAGUGGUCGGAAGUUUGAGGCAAUAACA
rnacentral:rRNA from 1 species